UACGUAGGGGGCAAGCGUUGUCCGGAAUCAUUGGGCGUAAAGAGCGCGUAGGCGGCCCUGUAAGUCCGCUGUGAAAGUCAAGGGCUCAACCCUUGGAUGCCGGUGGAUACUGCAGGGCUAGAGUCCGGAAGAGGCGAGUGGAAUUCCUGGUGUAGCGGUGAAAUGCGUAGAUAUCAGGAGGAACACCGGUGGCGAAGGCGGGUCUCUGGGCAACAACUGACGCUGAGGAGCGAAAGCGUGGGGAGCGAACAGG
rnacentral:rRNA from 1 species